UACGGAGGGUGCGAGCGUUGUCCGGAUUUAUUGGGCGUAAAGAGCGUGUAGGCGGCCAGGUAGGUCCGUUGUGAAAACUAGAGGCUCAACCUCUAGACGUCGAUGGAAACCAUCUGGCUAGAGUCCGGAAGAGGAGAGUGGAAUUCCUGGUGUAGCGGUGAAAUGCGCAGAUAUCAGGAGGAACACCGAUGGCGAAGGCAGGUCUCUGGGCCAUAACUGACGCUGAGAAGCGAAAGCAUGGGGAGCGAACAGG
rnacentral:rRNA from 1 species